rnacentral:rRNA from 1 species
AUUGAACGCUGGCGGCAGGCCUAACACAUGCAAGUCGAACGGUAGCACAGAGAGCUUGCUCUCGGGUGACGAGUGGCGGACGGGUGAGUAAUGUCUGGGAAACUGCCCGAUGGAGGGGGAUAACUACUGGAAACGGUAGCUAAUACCGCAUAACGUCGCAAGACCAAAGUGGGGGACCUUCGGGCCUCACACCAUCGGAUGGUCCCAGAUGGGAUUAGCUAGUAGGUGGGGUAAUGGCUCACCUAGGCGACGAUCCCUAGCUGGUCUGAGAGGGUGACCAGCCACACUGGAACUGAGACACGGUCCGGACUCCUACGGGAGGCAGCAGUGGGGAAUAUUGCACAAUGGGCGCAAGCCUGAUGCAGCCAUGCCGCGUGUAUGAAGAAGGCCUUCGGGUUGUAAAGUACUUUCAGCGGGGAGGAAGGCGGUGAAGUUAAUAACUUCACCGAUUGACGUUACCCGCAGAAGAAGCACCGGCUAACUCCGUGCCAGCCGCCGCGGUAA